AGUGAACGCUGGCGGUAGGCCUAACACAUGCAAGUCGAACGGCAGCACAGGAGAGCUUGCUCUCUGGGUGGCGAGUGGCGGACGGGUGAGGAAUACAUCGGAAUCUACUCUGUCGUGGGGGAUAACGUAGGGAAACUUACGCUAAUACCGCAUACGACCUACGGGUGAAAGCAGGGGACCUUGGGGCCUUGCGCGAUUGAAUGAGCCGAUGUCGGAUGAGCUAGUUGGCGGGGUAAAGGCCCACCAAGGCGACGAUCCGUAGCUGGUCUGAGAGGAUGAUCAGCCACACUGGAACUGAGACACGGUCCAGACUCCUACGGGAGGCAGCAGUGGGGAAUAUUGGACAAUGGGCGCAAGCCUGAUCCAGCCAUACCGCGUGGGUGAAGAAGGCCUUCGGGUUGUAAAGCCCUUUUGUUGGGAAAGAAAUCCAGCUGGCUAAUACCCGGUUGGGAUGACGGUACCCAAAGAAUAAGCACCGGCUAACUUCGUGCCAGCCGCCGCCGUAA
rnacentral:rRNA from 1 species